CAGCCGCUCGCCCUUCUUCUACCCGCCGCCGCCGCCAUAGCCGACUCGAAGCUCCGCACCCUCACCAAGCGCCUCGACCCCGACCUCGCCCCGCGCACCUGCACCACCGAGCUCGGUCACGCCGUGACGCCGUCGAUCGCCACCACGAUGUCGCCCGCAACUGCGUCGCCCGAGCGUCUCGUCCUCGGCACCACCUCGGCACUCGCACCGCGCCCUCGCCGAGCAGCAGCAGAGCCGCGGCCAUGGCCUCGCCCUGCCGACGCCGCCAAGCACCACUGCGCCCGCCUCGGCCGUGCCCCUACCUCUGUGUCAAGCUUCAUCACCACGCGGGGGUCAGCCGCGGUGCCGUCCUCGCUGCGCAGCGGCCUCGCCCGGCGACGUCGAGCCCGCUGCCCUCGCCGCGUCGAGCUUCGACCACGGCCGGCCGCGUGGACGCCACAGCCCGGCCGAGCCUCUGCCUCGCCACCGUGGGAGUCGCCGCGGCCACGACGCCUUCAGCCCCGGCGCCCCUCCGCGUCUACGACGGUGUCGACCGCGAGCCCCCGUGCUGUCAUGGAGCUUACCUCGUCGAGCCGACACGCCGUCGACAGAGCCACCGAUGCCGCGCGCCGGGCACCAGAGCAAGCCCCUUCGCCGAGCACCCGAUGCGCCCCGUUGCCGCGGCCACGCCAGGACAUCGCCAUGGUCACCGCGUCAGCGCCGGCCGUGGUGAUCGCGACCCCGACCACGACGCCGUGCUCAUCUUGCCACGGUGACCGCGAACUUCCCUUUUGCUGGCUGCCGAUCACCACUGAACGUGCAGCAGCGGCAGCACCACCCCGCGCGAAGCUCUUCUCUGCCGCCGGUGAGCCACCAGUGCCCAAGUGCCCUCCUUGCUAGCUUUCUGUUUUGCCUUGCUGAAACCGGCCUUUGUGCCGUGUUCUUCACUGUACAGGGAUGCUGCACCCAUGUCGUGCCACUUGCCGGAGCCGUUGGACUUAACAUCGCUGCUGUUGGAGCACCGAACCUCGAGGCGUUGCCGAACCCCAAGACUUCUCUUUCAGAUGCACCCCGGCCACUUGCAGCAAGCCGCGACCAAGCUGUAGAAGCCCUCUGCCAUCCUCGCCCGCAAGGUCGAACCUUGAACCUAGCCGACAUCGUCUCCGACGUUGGCAAAACCCUUGCCGUUCAUUUCGAUAUCAUACAUGCCAUGUAUCUUGCUCAUGUAUGCAUUAUGAUCUAUCUGCAUGACCAUUUGUUCAUCUAUCCAUGUCAUGCACUUGUUACAUGAUUAUUCAUCUCAUAUCUCGUUUAAUGCGCGAUCUAUCUUCGUCUAUAUCUCUGCCUGUGCCGUGCCUUCGUGCCGGUCUAUUUAUCUAUCUCUAUCUCUUUUGGUCGCUAUGGAAAUGUGCUACUCCGAGUCGUCGUCUUGUUAGUGUUGCAAUUUGUGCUUUUGUUCUUGUCGUUGUGGACCGUGCCGUCGAGCCGGUUGAGAGAGUGACGUGUUUGGAUGUUGCGAUCGCGAGUUCGUCUCGCCAUGGCCGUAAUGCCGAGCAUGUCCCUUCUCUCGUAUUUCUGUUGUUCCUUCUUUUGUUAUUUGCAUGCCUGAGGACCGAGCCUUCGAGCCGGUUAGGGAAAAUGGUGGAGCGAUCGAUCAUUUCGAUCGUGGGUUCGUCCCGCCGUGAUCGCGAUGCCGAGCGUAACUCAUUCCCUGUGAUUAGUUGUCUUCGCUGCGCUACGGUCGUUAGCUCCUAUUCCCGUCCCUCGAACGUGGUCAUCGUGGACUCGAUGUCGUUAACGACGCGGUUCUUACCCGCACACUCGAGACCUAAAUGACCUAGUCUAGUGGGAUACGAAUUAGGGGACAACCUUCGUAGAACUAUCGGAGAAACUCGUUAGGUGAAGCUCAUGGCCGCGAGUCCACCUUGCCAUGGCCAUUGGGCUUUACCCCAUUUCUCCCGUGUUUAUCCUAACCACCUCGUAUGCUUGUACCACUUCGACUAUAGCAUUCCCUCGGACCUAGCGGUGACAACCACAUCGCUAUGGGCCUUAGGAAUAGCCUUGUGCUGAUUUAGAUGCACAGUCAUGGUGCCCUACAAGUGGGUUGGGAUCGUGGGGUCGUAUUCCUUUUAUCCAACCGUCGUUGUUCCAUGAUGAGUUGGUCGAAAGAGUAUGGACUCCAUUCUUCUUCUCUCUUGUUCUCAAUCCCGUCGAUCCAGUAAGAUGGGGAUUAAGCCCCUUUUGCUUGUUUGAUGUUUUGUUUCCAAUCCCGCGAUUCCCGCCGUUGCUAUGGCGAGCGGAUCAAAGGAAGGUGAAUCCCGUGUCUUUUUCCGCCUUUUUGGUUCUUCGUGCUUAAACUCUUGUAUGCUUGUACCUAUAUCGAUCGUAGCAUUUCUUUGGUUCUUGUGGUGACAACCGCACCGCAAAGAACCUUAGUGAUGUCAUAGUGCAUUUAGUGCACCUAGGUUGUGGUACCCUACAAGUGGUUUGAGUACUCGUGUUCCUUAUGUGUCACUCUUUCUAAUCCCCCGUCUCUUACCAUGGCGAGUGGAUGGGAAGAAGUAGACCACUCCCCUUUUCUUCUUUCCUUGUUCCACCCUCUCUUGGCUCUCGCCAACUACAAUGGCGUAUGGAUUGAGAGAGACCGGAACUUCGCGUGCUCAUAGUCUUUUCGAUUCUUGUCGAUCUCCGUGAUGCUUGGAUCGAAGAGCCACUACCUAUGGUGUUUGCUUAUGAUAAGUUAGGGUCUAAGCCAAUUAUUAAAGUCGUACAGGUUGACUUAGUCGACCCAGGAAGUACCGGCUAGGCUAAGACUCCAGCUUGUACUUAGUGAACAACCAUUCCCAUUUCUUUUAGCCCAAAGAUCGGACAUCCGCCGAGAGGGCUAAGCCGUUUUCCUUUCGUUGCUCUUUUAGUGUAGUUGUUCCUCAGUGUUAUGUCGUCUCUUUUCGUAGUCUUUCGAGGUCUAGUGGUUUGAUUGUUUCGCCUUGUUUGUCGCUUUCGAGGUAGUCGCUUCGAGGUUAGCGUUGAUCGGACCAGGACCAGUUGAAGGAAGAACAUGUAGAAAGGAGGAUCUUGGAUGAGUACAACUACAAGUGAACUGAGGAUCUUGGAAAUGUCACUCGACAGGUGCCACGUCCCACCCAACCUCGUAGAAUCCUAUUAGACAUGCAAUAUUAUAGAUGCUAGUGCUUUACUUUUAUGCAAAUGAACUAUGAUAGGUUGCAUGGUAGAAAUGCUUGUGAGCCAUUGCCUUGUUGCAACCUAUAACCCUCGCACACCCGCUGUUAGGUUAGAUGCUUGCAUACUACUUGCCACUGCUUCUACUACGCAUUAUAUCUGUGAUGUGAUGCAUUGUGGAGGAUUGGAUGUGAGUGGAUAAGGCACGUGUGCCGAUAACUGGUUAAGAAAUGGAUAAUGGAUAUGGGGAGAUCUUGGCGUGUGUCUUGGGUGUGUGGUGAGGGUCGAGUCGACCGAGCAGGAUUUACGACGAGUCUUGGGACAAGUCUUGCCGGGGAAUGCUACCUGGGCGUUCUCCAUGAGAGAUACCUGUGGCGGGUACAUGUGACAGGGAGAGGUCCCGGAGUGGAGUGUCUUCGUGGGACGAAGCACCGGGAUGGGAGGUGCUGUAUAGCACGGGGUAGCCGGGUGUCCCGUCGAGAGGGGCAUCGGCUGGCCCCUCGUGAAGAUGUCCUGUUCGGUUACCCUAAGGACUGAGAUGUUCUGAGAACCGGUUCGUAGGAAGCCUUACACGCCACUCGCCUUAUUAUGGUGCGGGACGGAUGUACGACCAGCUAGUGCGGUGCCACUACUACUAGGUUGAUAGCGGAUAGUGUAGGGAGGUACGGGCAUGAGGACCCACACCCUCCUAAGACAGCGUAGUGACCUUUGGGGGCCCGGUACUACGCCUCACAGUCUCAGCAUGCCGGUGGUACUCCGGUAUGGCCCCAGUCCUGAGUGGUAGGGUGGCAUCGUAUUUAGUUGGAAGGCAGCCCGGUAUCAGCCUAGACGAGCCGGUUCGUCGAUGAUGGUGAUCUUGUGGUUAGUGUAAACCUCUGCAGAGUUUGGUUGAUCGAUCGAUACAUAUGCCGUCUUCUCGGCUAUGGACCUUUCCUAUGUUCCGCUUCGCUUGACUAGUGAGAGGAGUCCCUUCUAUCUUCCCCUGGGUUUGUGUUGGAUCCGGCGUUGGCCGUUGAGGCAAGGCACGAGCGGGAGUCGUACUUGCCGCCUAGAGAGUGAGAGUGUGGUGAGAUGUGUGUGAUGGGAUGGAUGGAUGGAUGUGUGGAUGAGAUGGAUUAAAACUUGAUGAAUUAUUAUUAUUAAAAUAUUGAUGAACUUGCAUAGAAAAAACUACAGCCAUAUAUAGGCCUCUUGAUCUACCCUUUUGCAUUCCACUUACCACAAAGCUUACGCAAAAGCAUAGGGUGGGAGCCAGUGGCCAGUACAAAUCGUACUGAAAAUUGUUUAGCAGGUUUUGAACGUGAUCUAUGACGAUAACUACGGAGAAUAGAAGGAUUAGGUGGUCUCGUUCCUGCGCUCAAGUUUGGUUCAGAGAUGAAGGCUGCGCCCGCUGAUAAACUACGCCGACUCUGAUGAUUGUCCGUGAAGGAGGAGCCUUCACCGCUGUCGCGCUACAUCGACUCUGAUAAAGACUCGCGUGUGUUUCCGCUAGAAAAACAAUGUAAUAAGCUUGUUAAUCAAGAGUUGUAAAGCAAAUGUGUUGUAAUCUUGUUUCUCACGAUGUAUGACUACGAUAACAGCUGAUAUAUGAUAAUGCGAUGGUUCAAUUUUUGAAUUAUCACAUUAUAAUUCGAAUCUGUGGAUUUUUCCCUUUGUGGAAAAAUCUGGGUCGUUUCAGUUGGUAUCAGAGCCAUACUUGACCCUAGGACGAGACCAUUAGGACCAAACACUAGUUUAGAAGCCAAACAUUCUAUCUUUUGUAGAGUUAUAGAUGCUAACACUUGUUUUCCCCCCUCCGCCUUGAAUUCUGUUGCUAACUGACCUCCCUGUUUCAUAAAGUUGACCGUUGGAAUCUUUUCCCAUACCCGCCCACGCUAGAUCGGUAGUCGUGUGAGACUUUGAAGGUCUGUGAGUCGCCUCAAGUCAACACUAUGCAUUAGGAGUUGUAAUGCUGAUUGAGUGCUUGGAUCUUAUGUUCUUGCGUUUCGUCUGCUUCUUGUUGUUUGAGUGUAUGUCAUAGAACUGUUUUAUGCGAGAAAAACUCUGGAUCCCGUCCAAUCUAGCUGGCUAAACCUAAGACUGUCCCGAAACUAGAUAAGUGACCCUGGCUAACAGAGCCGAAAAAGGGUUUAAAGCUGAUGCAUCAUGUCUUGCCCAUCUAUUUCAAAACUGUUUUUGGCUUCCAACUAAACUUGUCUUCAAAAUUGCCCUUUUGUUGAAAAAGUUUCUCUCCUUUUUGGUUGAAAAAGUUUAUCUCUUUUACAAAACAUCUUGGUUUCAAAAGGAAAAGUGUUUCAAAACUCUCUCAAUAUUCUUCCCUUUUCACAAAUAAAGCAAUUUUAACCCCCCUUUCUCAACUCAAACUCUAUUUAUGAAACGGUUUAAAAACAAGUUAUCUUCAAAAGGUGUUACCAAUCCUCUUUCUGAAAAUCAAAAGUUCUACCUUCAACCAACAAAGUGGUUUUCAAACCAAAGAUCUUUGGCUCAGUUUUGUUUUAAAUGUCUUUGAUUUUAUCUCAAGAGCCAAAUUCCUUUUAAAAUUCAACCUUGCCUUAAAAGAAAAAGGAAUUCCCAGUGAUUUAUUAAACAAAAACCAUUGUGAAAAGUUUUUGUUUAGCAACCUUUCAAAAAAAAGAACGAAAUGGACUUUCAAGUUUCAAAAAUGUUUUGGUUGUGAAGGCUCUAACUUUCAAAAUGCGAAAUGAUUUCUUGUUAUUUUCAAAACUAAUUUGUUUGACUCUAAUAAAAAGGGAGCAAUACCUUGUUUUAAAGAAAAUAGUAAUAAUAAAAUGAAAGAAUUUUAAAAUCUUUUGAUUUGAAAUCUUUUAUAAUAAAACCUUCAAAAUAUUUGGUUCUCAAAACUUGUAUUGAAUUCAACCCUCUGCAAAAGCUCUCUUCAUUUUGAAGUCUCAAAAAAAAAAUUGACUUUGUAAAAUCGCUUUCACUCCAUUUAUGAAACCUGUUUUUUCCGAAAAACAUUCCUUUCAAAAGCUUUUUGCAAAGAGUGAUGCAUGAAAAACUGCUGGUGAAAGCCAACAACCCUAGCUAUGUUUAAGCCUGCCAUGCACUCCUAGAGAGCCAGAUGUUCAUCAACCUGGUGCGAUUCUUGGAUACCCAUCGCCUUAUUGUGAGAAUUUGGAUACCCAACACCAGCGAGUGAGCCUUGGAUACAUCCUGAACAUGACUCGCCCCCACAUGGAAAAGGUUUGUGGAGCCAUCUUUCUGAUAGCAAAACAACUCAGAAGUAAGAAAAGCUUUGGGAACGACACCCGCGUUUCUUCACCGACCGAGCAACGCCUAAAUCUCGGGGACGAGAUUCCUGUAAGGAGGGUGGACUGUAACAUCCCAGAUUUUCACGAAAACCAAAAAUACGAGUUUUUUUAAAAUUUUUCCUGUAAUCGUGUGAAUCAUAUAGUAUUUAGGUCAAACUCGAUCCUAACCCGCUAACAAAUCGUGGCAUACAUAUAGAUUUGUUUGUAGACGGGUCGUCUUAAGUUGGAUCUUGUUAGGGUUUUGAGUUUCUUUUGGAGUGCACAAAUCCGUAGCAAAGCCUUCCCGAAUUUUCGUUGAGCCUAUCUCAAAGGCGAAGCGGAUCCCUUCUCAACCUUUUCGUUGGAGUACGUCUCAAACUCCUUUUGAUCCUUUUGAACUCUCCCUGAAAUUCCCUUCUCUCUCUCUUUGAUCUUAUCUAAAUCUCCUCCGCAAAAUCUAUCUUAAAUUCAUGGUAACUCAUCUCAAUCUCUUGUUGAGUUCUCUCUCGAAUGCCCCUCAUUUUUUUUUCCCUUUUAAAAUUUCUCUCAAAGCCCUUGAGUCAAAUUCGUAAAUGGAAGAUCCAUCUCCUUUCAUGGGCCAAUUCUUUCCUCCUCUUCCUCCCUCCCUCGGCCCAGCCUGGGCACCCUUCCCCCCUGUCCGGCCCAACUCGCGCGCGCCAAGGCCCAGUCUGCCCCUUACCCCCCAGCCAGGUCGGCCCACCUCGUUCCCCCUGUCUCCCCUCCGAGGCCCAGCUCUUUCCUUGGCCCAUCCAGUGCCGCGCUGGCCCAUUCGCUUCUCCCUGCUCUGGCCCAAGUCGUGGCCGGCCCAGCAGCCAGCGCCCCAGCCCCAACCCUAGCAGGGAGCUGGACACCUGAGCCCCAGAGCCGCCGCCGCCGUCGCCCAAGGCAGAGCCGCGCCAGCGCUCGCGCCUGCCACGGCUUCCGUGCGACCCCGCAUCCACCGCCGCGUGUCCCGCUGCGGACACGGACGCCGAGGAUGGCCGCAGCGUCCCUGGAGCCCUAGCGCCCGCGCUAUAAAAGCGGCAGCAGCCGCUCGCCCUUCUUCUACCCGCCGCCGCCGCCAUAGCCGACUCGAAGCUCCGCACCCUCACCAAGCGCCUCGACCCCGACCUCGCCCCGCGCACCUGCACCACCGAGCUCGGUCACGCCGUGACGCCGUCGAUCGCCACCACGAUGUCGCCCGCAACUGCGUCGCCCGAGCGUCUCGUCCUCGGCACCACCUCGGCACUCGCACCGCGCCCUCGCCGAGCAGCAGCAGAGCCGCGGCCAUGGCCUCGCCCUGCCGACGCCGCCAAGCACCACUGCGCCCGCCUCGGCCGUGCCCCUAC
rnacentral:lncRNA from 1 species